GCAAAAUCGGAAUUAGUAAGCCCAAUCUCAGCUUGGGCAGUUUUACUAAAGUUAAGGUUCUCUAAUUAAUUUAUAAAAUUCCUAGCAAAAAAUAAUUAUGUAAAAUGAUUUGUAAUAACAUGAGAACAUUGCAAAGGACUUCCAUGAAUAUUUUUAUAAUUUUCUAAAGAAAGAACAAGGAUAAUUAGACAAUAGAGUAGUUAGGAACCCUAAG
rnacentral:misc_RNA from 1 species